rnacentral:rRNA from 1 species
AUUCCAGCUCCAAUAGCGUAUAUUAAAGUUGUUGCGGUUAAAAAGCUCGUAGUUGGAUUUCUGCCGAGGAUGACCGGUCCGCCCUGUGGGUGUGCAUCUGGCUCAGCCUUGGCAUCUUCCUGAAGAACGUAGCUGCACUUGACUGUGUGGUGCGGUAUUUAGGACAUUUACUUUGAGGAAAUUAGAGUGUUUCAAGCAAGCGCACGCUUUGAAUACAUUAGCAUGGAAUAAUAAGAUAGGACCUCGGUUCUACUUUGUUGGUUUCUAGAGCUGAGGUAAUGAUUGAUAGGGAUAGUUGGGGGCAUUCGUAUUUAACUGUCAGAGGUGAAAUUCUUGGAUUCGCUCAAGACUAACUUAUGCGAAAGCAUUCACCAAGGAUGUCUUCAUUA